rnacentral:lncRNA from 1 species
GGCGGGUGUGGUACUGCCGAACCCGAGGAAUGAGAAAGGAGGCCCGGCAGAAAGUUCGGAUCAGCUGCCGGCCGUUCCCGGCGUAGCCUAGGGCGGGGAGGGAUUGACUCCCCGGAACAUCCCGGGGUAAAGACCUCGCAUAACAGCGAAACCGCUGAGGGACUGUUGUGUGGCGAGGCCUUGGAGACAGACAGGCCCACACACUCCCUUUCCUCGUGAGGGUCACCGACCUGCCUACUUGGGAACGACAUAGACCUGACAGUUGUGUUUGGGGGUGGAGGUUGAUGACCAGUUAUUGAAUGAAUCGCAGAGACAUUUGCGUAGGAGUGUUGAUGCAAGAUUUUCUUCUUUUUUUUUUUUUUUUUGAGAUGGAGUCUCGCUGUCUCCCAGGCUGCAGUGUAGUGGCAGGAUCUCGGCUUACAACAACCUCCGCCUCCCGGGUUCAAGCGAUUCUCCUGCCUCAGCCUCCCGAGUAGCUGGGACUACAGGCGCACGCCACCACGCCCGGUUGAUUUUUGUAUUUUUAGCAGAGACGGGGUUUCACCGUGUUGGCCAGGCUGUUCUGGAACUCCUGACCUCAGGUGAUCCGCCCACCUCGGCCUCCCAAAGUGCUGGGAUUACAGGCGUGAGCCACCGCGCCCGGCCCCCCUCUGGCCACUAUUAUUAUAGUUUUUAAAGCCUCUUAAUCGUAAAUACUAGAGUCUUAUUUUAUUCUUAGAGGGAAUUUUUAGAUGAGAGGCAAAAUUGUAAAAAGGAAAGUUUGAAUAUAAUUACAGACUAUAUUUUACGGAAGAGAAAUUGAAAAUGUACACUUUUUUCUAAAUAUUUAAAAUAAAUGUUUAGGCAGGCACAUUAGAAAACAUAAAAAGGAGCAAAAACUCAGCACUAAACCACUGGUCAAAGUUAACUGCUGUUAACAUUUUAGUGUUUUCCUUCUGUUGUUUUUUCCUAUCUUACAAAUACUGAAUCACUAAACAAUGCAUUUGUUAGACGAACAUAAACCACCCUGUGGCUUUAUCUGUGGAGUAGGACUAUGGGAGACUUUCACUUUGUUAGAUAUUUCUGUAUCAUUUGGAGUAUUAUAAAAUGUACAUGCAUUCCUUUUCUAACCAGAAAA